rnacentral:rRNA from 1 species
UACGUAGGGGGCAAGCGUUAUCCGGAUUUACUGGGUGUAAAGGGAGCGUAGGUGGCAUGGCAAGUCAGAAGUGAAAGCCCGCGGCUCAACUGCGGGACUGCUUUUGAAGCUGUCAGGCUAGAGUGCAGGAGGGGUAAGCGGAAUUCCUAGUGUAGCGGUGAAAUGCGUAGAUAUUAGGGAGAACACCGGCGGCGAAGGCGGCUUACUGGACUGGAACUGACACUGAGGCUCGAAAGCGUGGGGAGCAAAC